rnacentral:rRNA from 1 species
UUUGACGAAGGGAAUACGGUUCCAAUUCCGUAACCUGUUGAGUAUCCGUUUGUUAUUAAAUAUGGGCCUCGUGCUCAUCCUGGCAACAGGAACGACCAUAAAGAAGCCGUCGAGAGAUAUCGGAAGAGUUUUCUUUUCUGUUUUAUAGCCGUACUACCAUGGAAGUCUUUCGCAGAGAGAUAUGGUAGAUGGGCUAGAAGAGCAUGACAUAUACUGUUGUGUCGAUAUUUUCUCCUCGGACCUUGAAAAUUUAUGGUGGGGACACGCAAACUUCUCAACAGGCCGUACCAAUAUCCGCAGCUGGUCUCCAAGGUGAAGAGUCUCUAGUCGAUAGAAUAAUGUAGGUAAGGGAAGUCGGCAAAUUAGAUCCGUAACUUCGGGAUAAGGAUUGGCUCUGAAGAUUGAGAUAGUCGGGCUUGAUUGGGAAACAAUAACAUGGUUUAUGUGCUCGUUCUGGGUAAAUAGAGUUUCUAGCAUUUAUGUUAGUUACUUGUUCCCCGGAUAGUUUAGUUACGUAGCCAAUUGUGGAACUUUCUUGCUAAAAUUUUUAAGAAUACUAUUUGGGUUAAACCAAUUAGUUCUUAUCAAUUAUAACGAUUAUCAAUUAACAAUCAAUUCAGAACUGGCACGGACUUGGGGAAUCCGACUGUCUAAUUAAAACAAAGCAUUGUGAUGGCCCUAGCGGGUGUUGACACAAUGUGAUUUCUGCCCAGUGCUCUGAAUGUCAAAGUGAAGAAAUUCAAGUAAGCGCGGGUCAACGGCGGGAGUAACUAUGACUCUCUAAGGUAGCCAAAUGCCUCGUCAUCUAAUUAGUGACGCGCAUGAAUGGAUUAACGAGAUUCCUACUGUCCCUAUCUACUAUCUAGCGAAACCACAGCCAAGGGAACGGGCUUGGAAUAAUUAGCGGGGAAAGAAGACCCUUUUGAGCUUGACUCUAAUCUGGCAGUGUAAGGAGACAUAAGAGGUGUAGAAUAAGUGGGAGAUAUUAGACCUCGGUUUGGUAUCGUCAAUGAAAUACCACUACUCUUAUUGUUUCCUUACUUACUUGAUUAAAUGGAACGUGUAUCAUUUCCUAGCCAUUAUACGGAUAUAUUUAUUAUAUCUUAUGGUAUUGGGUUUUGAUGCAAGCUUCUUGAUCAAAGUAUCACGAGUUUGUUAUAUAAUCGCAAACAAAUUCUUUAAUAAAACGAUGCAUUUAUGUAUUUUUGAUUUGAAAAUUUGGUAUAACUCCAAUUACUCAGGUAUGAUCCAAUUCAAGGACAUUGCCAGGUAGGGAGUUUGACUGGGGCGGUACAUCUCUCAAAUAAUAACGGAGGUGUCCCAAGGCCAGCUCAGUGCGGACAGAAACCACACAUAGAGCAAAAGGGCAAAUGCUGACUUGAUCUCGGUGUUCAGUACACACAGGGACAGCAAAAGCUCGGCCUAUCGAUCCUUUUGGUUUAAAGAGUUUUUAACAAGAGGUGUCAGAAAAGUUACCAUAGGGAUAACUGGCUUGUGGCGGCCAAGCGUUCAUAGCGACGUCGCUUUUUGAUCCUUCGAUGUCGGCUCUUCCUAUCAUUGUGAAGCAAAAUUAAACAAGCGUUGGAUUGUUCACCCAUGCAAGGGAACGUGAUGAUGGGUUUAGACCGUCGUGAGACAGGUUAGUUUUACCCUAGUGG